ensembl:piRNA 21ur-5088 ncRNA
UGAUGUAUUCAUUUGGCGAGG